rnacentral:miRNA from 1 species
ACAAAUGCUUCUUGGGAUCUCACUAAAAUGCAGAUUCUGAUUCAGUGAGCCUGAGGAGAGACCUCAGAGUCUGCAUUUCUAAUAAGCUCCCAGGAAUAGGGAG